rnacentral:rRNA from 1 species
UACGAAGGGUGCAAGCGUUACUCGGAAUUACGGGGCGUAAAGCGUGCGUAGGUGGUUUUUUAAGUCCGUUGUGAAAGCCCUGGGCUCAACCUGGGAAUGGCAGUGGAUACUGGAAAGCUAGAGUGCGGUAGGGGGUAGUGGAAUUCCCGGUGUAGCAGUGAAAUGCGUAGAGAUCGGGAGGAACACCAGUGGCGAAGGCGGCUACCUGGACCAGCACUGACACUGAGGCACGAAAGCGUGGGGAGCAAACAGG